GUCCGGGAGCUCCACCCGAGCUACUUCCGCAAUCGGAGUAAACAGCGGGGGGCAAACCAAGUGCGAAGGGGGUGGAGAUUCCAUUAAAUCAACUCCUAAGUUCAAAGCAGGAAAACUCCAGCUAAGAAAGUAUAAAAACUCCUGCAAAGUGUAUUGAAAGACGAAUUCUUUUUCUUAGAGUUAAAAAGAACCAGUAUUCUUGGUGGAGCGGAGGGGCCAAACUCAUGCACUUGCUGUGGACACCCCUCAAGUUGCGCAUCGUUUUGUCUCUUCCCUCCCGGUCUCAGGUGGGGCAGAAAGUUGGGUGGAGAGAGUGAGUCACUGGCUCGAACCCUCCACUGCAGGAUCCAAUCCGGGGGGGCGGGGAGGCCCUGGGUCCUGGAACUUGGAAGACGGUUCUGAAAGGCCAGGAUCAGAUGGCCCCCACCUAACUCUGCGACUUCAGACCACUUCAUGAAUUUAUCUGGGUCUCAGUUUGUCCUGCGAAAUAGGAGCAGUCCCAGACCAUGUAUCUACUGUGUUUCAAGCACCCACCCAGGGCUGGGGCUGCAACAGAUCAUUAAGGGUUGUGCAGACAGAGCAAGAUGUGCAGGGACACCGAGCUCCACACCUACAGAGGUGUCCGAAUGGAUAAAGGUUUGGAGUGUGAAAGUGCAUGACUUCCGCAAAGGGAACCAAAAAUGUUCCUGUACACGCACCCGGAGGCUUUUGCAGGAGGCGGCUGUUGGAGAACCGGGAAAACAAGCCAAGAAACAAGAGAGAGGAAAGAGACCACGCCUUGCCUGGCAGAUUCCUAAUGGCCCAGGAGGCCCGAGGCUUUACAGAGGGAGUCCGACAAAAAGAACCGUUCCAGUCCCUGACAUGAGCCUGGGCUUGCUCUGCUGGCAGGGGAAGGAAUGCAGUUCUGGCCGCCACAGCUGCUGGUGGCCAGCUGCGGCUUCAGCUCUUGCUGCUCCCACCCCAGCGGGCAAAGGGACAAAGGCCUCUUCUCAGGCCUGUCCCCUCCAGCCCCAUGGAUCAGUGGGGGCAGAGAAUCUACCAGGAGGUGGGGUCGCUGACCAGCCAGUGACUUAGCUGUUCCUCUCUGGAUCUCAGUGCCCUUUCUGGAAAAUGGGGACAGAGUAUUUGCCUGACUUACUUCUCAGCGUUGUUUUCCAAAGAGGCGAGGUUACAGAAAUGCAUUCUUCUCAGCUGAGGGGCUGCCUACUCAGAGACCGCUCUGCCGCCAACGCCCCUCCCCACCUCAUACCUCACCUGGCCAGCCCCUGCUCACUCUGCUCAGCUCAGCAGAACCAUCCCCUGCUCUGGGGAGCCUCCCCCCACCUCCAGCCUGUGCUGCUUCUGGGUAUUAAUGGUAUUAAUCACGGCGGUAAUUAAAUAAUUAAUUGUGUAAUUGGAUCUGUCUCCCCACUAAAUGUGAACCCUGUAAUAAUAAUAGCUGACACUGACUGAAUGCUUCCGCGGUGCCAGAGACUACAGGUAUUAACUAUCCCACUAAAUCCGUUUGGCCGGUACUGUUAGUUUCCCCAUCUUACAGAUGAGGAAACUGAGACAAGGAGAGGUUCCGUACGUCACCUGAGGUCACAGCACGUUGGAGGCUGAGCCAGGACUUAGCACAAAGAAGUUGCAGAACCAGGAUUCAAACCCAGACCCCAAGCUAUAACCAUUACCGCACUAAUAAGUCAGCUUGUUCCUGCCUAUGCCCAGCUCCCAAAACAUCUGGUAUACAGUAAGUGCUCCAUUUACAAACAGUAGGUGAUGAAUACAUAAACAGGUAAUGAGUACACAGGAGUAUUUGGAGAAGAAUAAAGCACCUUCCAGGAGUGAGUUUUACGGGACCGUAUGCGGAGCUGAGCCACGGUGAGGGGAGCGAGUGCCUGAUAGACUACCGUAGUCCCCGUUAUCUGCCUUUUCGCUUUCUGCAGUUUCAGUUACUUGCGGUCAGCUGAGGUCUGAGGAUAUGAAAUAGAAAGUUCCAGAAAUAAACAAUUCAUAUGUUUUCAACAACGCACCAUUCUGAGUAGCAUGAUGAAAUCUCUCACUGACCCACUCUGUCCUUCCCCGGAGCAGGUAUCCACGCUGUAUACACUCCCUGUCGCCUGGUUAGUCACUUAGAAGCCACCUCAGUUAUCACUCAGAUCAGCUA